rnacentral:rRNA from 1 species
AAUGUAAGCGUUAUUAUUUGUUUUAGAAUUUUGUUUAUUAAAAUAAGAAUAUUAAUUAUCUAAUUAUUUGGCAAGAAAAGAUUUCUUUAAUUAUAGUGAACUAGUACUGUGGAGGAAUAUUAUUUAUUAUUACAAAGAAGAUUUUGUUUAUCGUACCUUGUGUAUCAGGGUUUAUUAAUUAAUAAUUAUUUACGAAUAAUUUUCUCGAACUUAGAAGGGCUAAGUAUCUAUAAAUUUUGUUGUUGAAUAAAUAUUUAUAAUAGAUACUUUGUAAUGAAAUGUUAUUCGUUUCUAAAUAUAUCUAGUUUUUUAAGAAAUAGAUUUAAUCUAAUUGAUUUGAUGUAAUUAUUUAAUUUUAAAAUAUUUUAUAUUAAUCACUAAAUACUUUAGGGGAUGAGCUUUAAAGUAUAUUUUUAUAAACUGUUUUUGGGCUUAAUAUCAAUAGGAUUAGAAAUUUUCAUUUUUAGGAGGGUGUUAUAAUUUUUUUUAAGUAAUAUAUUAUUUAUAUUGGUUUUUAAAUUUUUUAUUAAAUUUUAGUUUCAAAUUUUUUUUAUCUAGUAAUAAUGAUUGAAUUAGUAUAUAAAAUUGUAUAAUUAAUAGUUAGUUAUGAGGUUAAUAAAAGGAAUUCGGCAAAAUAUCCUUUACCUGUUUAAUAAAAACAUGUCCUUUUGAUUAUUAUUUAAGGUCUAGCCUGCCCACUGAGCUAUUAAAUGGCCGCGGUAAUUUGACCGUGCAAAGGUAGCAUAAUAAUUAGUUUUUUAAUUGAAAGCUGGAAUGAACGGUUGGAUAAGAGGAUAACUGUCUCUUAUUAAAUUUAAUAAAAUUUUAUUUUUAAGUAAAAAAGCUUAAAUUGUAUUAAAAGACGAGAAGACCCUAUAGAGUUUAAUAUUUUUUAGUAUAAAAUUUAUUAGCAUUUUUAAUUUUUAUAUUAGAGUUUAUUUGGUUGGGGUGAUUGGAAAAUUUAAUAAACUUUUCUUUUUUAUAAUCACUUAUUUGUGAAUAUUUGAUCCGAUGUUAUCGAUUAUAAGAUAAAAUUACCUUAGGGAUAACAGCGUUAUUUCUUUCUAGAGUUCAAAUCGAAUAAGAAGUUUGCGACCUCGAUGUUGGAUUAAAAUUAAGUUCUGGUGCAGAAGCUAGGAAUUUAGGUCUGUUCGACCUUUAAAAUUUUACAUGAUCUGAGUUUAGACCGGCGUGAGCCAGGUUGGUUUCUAUCUUUAAUAAAUUAAAAUAUUUUAGUACGAAAGGACCAAAUAUUUAAUAAAUUAUUUAAUUUAUGAAUACUAUU